UUAAUUGAAGAGUUUGAUCAUGGCUCAGAUUGAACGCUGGCGGCAGGCCUAACACAUGCAAGUCGAGCGGCAGCACAGAGGAACUUGUUCCUUGGGUGGCGAGCGGCGGACGGGUGAGUAAUGCCUGGGAAAUUGCCCGGUAGAGGGGGGAUAACCAUUGGAAACGAUGGCUAAUA
rnacentral:rRNA from 1 species